CGGCAGCGCGGGAGCAAUCCUGGCGGCGAGUGGCGAACGGGUGAGUAAUACAUCGGAACGUGCCCAAUCGUGGGGGAUAACGUAGCGAAAGCUACGCUAAUACCGCAUAAGAUCUACGGAUGAAAGCGGGGGAUUCGCAAGAACCUCGCGCGAGUGGAGCGGCUGAUGGCAGAUUAGGUAGUUGGUGAGGUAAAGGCUCACCAAGCCUUCGAUCUGUAGCUGGUCUGAGAGGACGACCAGCCACACUGGGACUGAGACACGGCCCAAACUCCUACGGGAGGCAGCAGUGGGGAAUUUUGGACAAUGGGCGAAAGCCUGAUCCAGCAAUGCCGCGUGCAGGAUGAAGGCCUUCGGGUUGUAAACUGCUUUCGUACGGAACGAAAAGGUCUGCCCUAAUACGGCGGGCCCAUGACGGUACCGUAAGAAUAAGCACCGGCUAACUACGUGCCAGCAGCCGCGGUAAUACGUAGGGUGCGAGCGUUAAUCGGAAUUACUGGGCGUAAAGCGUGCGCAGGCGGUUAUGUAAGACAGUUGUGAAAUCCCCGGGCUCAACCUGGGAACUGCAUCUGUGACUGCAUAGCUAGAGUACGGUAGAGGGGGAUGGAAUUCCGCGUGUAGCAGUGAAAUGCGUAGAUAUGCGGAGGAACACCGAUGGCGAAGGCAAUCCCCUGGACCUGUACUGACGCUCAUGCACGAAAGCGUGGGGAGCAAACAGGAUUA
rnacentral:rRNA from 1 species